AGUGAACGCUGGCGGUAGGCCUAACACAUGCAAGUCGAACGGCAGCACAGUAAGAGCUUGCUCUUACGGGUGGCGAGUGGCGGACGGGUGAAGAAUACAUCGGAAUCUACUUUUUCGUGGGGGAUAACGUAGGGAAACUUACGCUAAUACCGCAUACGACCUACGGGUGAAAGCAGGGAAUCUUCGGACCUUGCGCGAUUGAAUGAGCCGAUGUCGGAUUAGCUAGUUGGCGGGGUAAAGGCCCACCAAGGCGACGAUCCGUAGCUGGUCUGAGAGGAUGAUCAGCCACACUGGAACUGAGACACGGUCCAGACUCCUACGGGAGGCAGCAGUGGGGAAUAUUGGACAAUGGGCGCAAGCCUGAUCCAGCCAUACCGCGUGGGUGAAGAAGGCCUUCGGGUUGUAAAGCCCUUUUGUUGGGAAAGAAAAGCAGCAGGUUAAUACCCCGCUGUUCUGACGGUACCCAAAGAAUAAGCACCGGCUAACUUCGUG
rnacentral:rRNA from 1 species